UUUUCUCUUACUCUACUCUCAUCUCUUUACUUAUAUGCGUGUGAAGAACUCUUAACUAUCAUAGAGAAUGACAAGAAGAGUUGAAGGCUUUCAAUAUGUUAGAUACUUGGCUAAAAAUAGUUUUACUUGGAUGCUUGUGUAACUUCACAUUAUGAUCGGGAGUACUCCAAAUUAUUGAAAUAUUGAAAACACAUUGUCUACAAAAAAUAUAUAUAGAUAUAGAAUAAAAAUGAUAUACGGAGAAGGUUGAGCCCCAUUGGUGGUUUAAGGGACAUUAUAUGUAUCUGGAAAUCUGUAUAUAUAAUGUUUUUUCUCCUGUGACUCCCUCCAAGUCAUUGCCACGUCAUCGAAGGCUUCUGUCCGGACACGUGUCUCAUCUUCUCGAAAUACAGCGCUUCAUUAAUAGAAGUGUGCAAAUUUAAUGGGCUCCGGUUUAUGUUAUUUGGGCUGAAACAAUAAACAAAAGUAGUCCAUUUCUGCCUUUGCAUUCAUCAACAAUGGCUAUUCUAGCUUUUUAGGGUUCAUCGAUUUUCGAGCUCCGAUUCGGCCAACCAGAAAUGGAGGUCUUGAAAGGUUGUGUGAGGCGAUUCUUCGUGAAGAAUCUCUGUGUCAAUCUCUGUUCAUGUCCUUUCGUCAUCGAUACAUCUCCUCAUGUACGUUACGGGAUGUAUUGAUUCAACGCCAUUAACGACCUUCUUAACUCUUUCAACUCACUCCAACCACGAUGAUUCUUUUCUCUCUUCCAAGUGGUUGAUCUCCACCUAUAAAAAGGACAGCCUUAAUCCCGUGAACAUCAUUGUACUUCCAAGGUCGAGGUGCGACUCCUCAGGUUUUCAGAUAUAAAAAUGUAGCCCUCUUCUUUUAGAAGACGCUGGGUCAGCGGCUAUCGAUCAAAAACUGAACAUACUUUCGCAAAGGUUUCUGGUGUCGUCUGUGAUGCUGUAGAAAGUAGCUCCAGUUAGAAUGGUUGCUGCGAUUAUUUUUGAUAGGCAAAAUCACUGCCGCCAGUGUUACUCUCCAGAUGUGUGAACAAGAAAACAAUUAUAAAUUUGACCGCAAGCUGCUGAUGCAGGGUCUUCUAAAAGAACAUGGCUCGUAUCAUUCUCAAGCACAUAAGAGACAUUAACCCCUGCAUUUUGUCAAUAUAAUUAACUAUAAUAUAAUUUCACUACUAAGGAGAGUAGUGUUUUGGAUUUUGAACAAAUGGAACAACUGAAAAGCUAAAGACAUUAAGUAGAUCAGUCAGUAAAUCUCUCACAAAUCAUUCCCUAAUUGCUAUUAGAAGUCAAUUGCUAUUAGAAGUCAAUGGUAAAAUAUAUGAGUUUAAACUUAUAUUGUAUAACAAAUGUCAAUACAAUAUAACGAAAUAUACUUACAAAAAUAUAAUUAAAAUUAACUUUUUUAAGGAAAAUCAUGAGAGUAGCCGGACCGACCUUAGUUCAAUAUAUAACUAGGUGUUUUCCUGGCGCUAUGCACAUACAAUAACUUUAAACAUAAUAAUUUAUUACAUUAAUUUGUAUUUAAUUAAUAUUAAUCAAUUUUAAAAUAUAAAGUAAUCAUUUGUAAUUGAUAUUCUAUUAAGUUUAUGAAUUUUUUAAUCUACACUGGCAUAUAGUUUAAACAAAUAAAAAUUAUUUUGUUUUUCUGAAAUAAUAAUUUUUAUACAUCUUUUACUGUUGUACUAUAAUGAUCAAUAGAUAUAUAAUAUUUUUUAAUAAUUUAUGUCAUCAUUUUCUUCUAAUAGUUAUUUUAGACUUAAAAAAAUAUUUGGUAAAUAAUAUAUAUUUAAAAUGAAUGAUAUAGUUUUCUAAAAGCGAUAGUAUAUAUUUUUAAAAUAUUUUUUUGCAAAAGUAGAUAAACUUUGUAGGUAUAAAACAUAAGUAGUUUGCAUAGAAAUUUUAUUUGCAGAAUAAUUAGUUUAAGGGAGAGAUAUAUGUAUCUGGAAAUUCAAUAUAUAAUGGUAUUCAGAAGAACAAAAAAAGAUAUGGAAUAAAAACGAGACAAAUGACCUCAAAAGGGGUAAAUCGAAUGUAUGUACAUGGGGAAAAAGUGGUGUUCAGAAAAAAAAAAGUACAUGGAGAAAAAGUACCCUAAUGCUUGCCUGAGUUUAUAAGUGGAGCUAUAAAAAUGGCGUUCAAAUCAAAACACAAACGUAAAACGAUCAUUAGUAAACACCUUAAAAGGUACAUUUCUACAUAUAUUUUAAAACUAAGGCC